ACACAUSCAAGUCGAGCGGAUGACGGGAGCUUGCUCCUUGAUUCAGCGGCGGACGGGUGAGUAAUGCCUAGGAAUCUGCSUGGUAGUGGGGGACAACGUUUCGAAAGGAACGCUAAURCCGCAUACGUCCUACGGGAGAAAGCAGGGGACCUUCGGGCCUUGCGCUAUCAGAUGAGCCUAGGUCGGAUUAKCUAGUUGGUGAGGUAAUGGCUCMCCAAGGCGACGAUCCGUAACUGGUCUGAGAGGAUGAUCAGUCACACUGGAACUGAGACACGGUCCAGWCUCCUACGGGAGGCAGCAGUGGGGAAUAUUGSACAAUGGGCGAAAGCCUGAUCCAGCCAUSCCGCGUGUGUGAAGAAGGUYUUCGGAUUGUAAAKCACUUUAAGUUGGGAGGAAGGGCAGUAAGUUAAURCCUUGCUGUUUUGACGUUMCCGACMGAAUAAGCACCGGCUAACUCUGUGCCASCASCCGCGGUAAUACAGAGGGUSCAAGCGUUAAUCGGAAUUWCUGGGCGUAAAGCGCGCGUAGGUGGUUCGUUAAGUUGGAUGUGAAAGCCCCGGGCUCAMCCUGGGARCUGCAUCCAAAACUGGCGAGCUAGAGUMCGGUAGAGGGUGGUGGAAUUUCCUGUGUASCGGUGAAAUGSGUAGAUAUAGGAAGGAMCMCCAGUGGSGAAGGCGACCWCCUGGACUGAUACUGACACUGAGGUGCGAAAGCGUGGGGAGCAAMCAGGAUUAGAUACCCUGGUAGUCCACGCCGUAAACGAUGUCAACUAGCCGUUGGAAUCCUUGAG
rnacentral:rRNA from 1 species